rnacentral:rRNA from 1 species
AUUGAACGCUGGCGGCAGGCUUAACACAUGCAAGUCGAGCGGGGUGAUGGUGCUUGCACUAUCACUUAGCGGCGGACGGGUGAGUAAUGCUUAGGAAUCUGCCUACUAGUGGGGGACAACAUCUCGAAAGGGAUACUAAUACCGCAUACGUCCUACGGGAGAAAGCAGGGGAUCACUUGUGACCUUGCGCUAAUAGAUGAGCCUAAGUCGGAUUAGCUAGUUGGCGGGGUAAAGGCCUACCAAGGCGACGAUCUGUAGCGGGUCUGAGAGGAUGAUCCGCCACACUGGGACUGAGACACGGCCCAGACUCCUACGGGAGGCAGCAGUGGGGAAUAUUGGACAAUGGGGGGAACCCUGAUCCAGCCAUGCCGCGUGUGUGAAGAAGGCCUUAUGGUUGUAAAGCACUUUAAGCGAGGAGGAGGCUCUUUUGGUUAAUACCCAAGAUGAGUGGACGUUACUCGCAGAACAAGCACCGGCUAACUCUGUGCCAGCCGCCGCAGUAA